rnacentral:rRNA from 1 species
GGGGCCUCGGGACGCAGCAGUGGGGAAUAUUGCACAAUGGGGGAAACCCUGAUGCAGCGACGCCGCGUGAGUGAAGAAGUAUUUCGGUAUGUAAAGCUCUAUCAGCAGGGAAGAAGAAAGACGGUACCUGACUAAGAAGCCCCGGCUAACUACGUGCCAGCAGCCGCGGUAAUACGUAGGGGGCAAGCGUUAUCCGGAUUCACUGGGCGUAAAGGGAGCGCAGGCGGCAUGGCAAGUCUGAUGUGAAAACCCGGGGCCCAACCCCGGGAGUGCAUUGGAAACUGCCAGGCUGGAGUGUCGGAGGG